AGUAGGCACCACUCAAAGCGAGAUUCACAUGAGGCUGCCUUUCAUCAAUGAUAAUGAAACUUCAAUAGAAGCAAAAAAUCAAUUUGAGUAUAUAAAAUUA